rnacentral:lncRNA from 1 species
CGGGGACUCGCGCUCGGCCCGCUCAGUGUCCGGGCUGGCCUGGCCGAGACGGCGCUGGGCUCCGAGAACAGGGGACGGGCAUGGCCGGGUCCGGGAACCGCCGCUACCUCAUUUCUUCCCUCCGAGGCGGUGUCCAGCUCCGCUCCCGGGCUCUCCACGGUCUGCUGCCCGCCUUUGCAGUGCGCCCUCUCCGGUGCUGCGAGCGGCGUCCGGCUCGCCUGCCUCACAUCCUUGCCGUCCGGGAGGAAGAUCUCGGAAUUGUAUUCCAUUAAAGAAAAGAGAGAGGCACAGAAAACACCAAGGCUUAUCUCUCAC